GUUCAAGGAGGCAUUUGGCAUUUUUUAGAAGGACAGAGAAAGUCAGAUCCAUCCCUUCGAACUUCACUUUUCCCCCCUUUUCUGUUGGAAAUCUGUUGAUUUUAUGAUUUAUUAAUAGCAUUUUUAUGGUUGAGGAUUUUUUUAUGGAAAUCUGUUGAUCACUUGGUUGUGUAGAAAGGGGAAGCUGAAUGAAGCAUAAAUGGUGUUUGACGAAAUGCGUAAGAGAGGGAUAAGUGCUGCUAAUGCAACAUUAGCUGCUUUGGUUUAUGGAGGGGAUAAGAUAGCUUGAUGUGAGUGUUUACCAUGGGCUGAUCAAGGGUUUGUUGAAGCUUAGGAAGGCAAAGGAAGACACUCAAGUGUUUAGAAUAGCACUUGUUUAGCCUAUGUUACUCUAUCCAUGUCGUGUCUCAUAGGCUGAGACUCAACAAUACGGGGCUGAAGAGCUACAAAGCAUUAAACAAAUACGGUGUCUGCUUAUUAUCCGCUUGCCUGCUCCUUGCACUGGAGGGGCGCAUGGGGGAAGAAUUUCCAAUCCGCUGAAGUUGCUGCAGAUCUUUAGUCGUGGUUCUGGCUCUUGUGCAGCGGUUGCCACUGUUCUGAGUGGCCAAGUGAGUUUAACUAUCUAUCCUCUGUUCAGGUAUAGGCCUUUUACAGGUUUUGGCUUUUCAGUGUUGUAUAUGUUUACAUUUAGCUAGGUGUGGCAUGGCCCCUUUUUUUGUACUGCCUGUCCUCUAGAGACUCACACAACAUGUUGAAUCUACUGGUUUUCAAAUAGUCACGAGACCAGAGCUACUUUUAGUCUAGUCCUCAGUUACUUUGUGCAGCUGCAACUGGCUUAUUCCGUGACCCAAACACAGUAUGUGGUGUUGGCUCUUUUACCAAUUGCUAAGAGCCUAACCAACUUACCAAAAGCAAUAGAACUCAUAAACCAUUGGGGUUCGUAACAUAGUGACUCUUGGACUCAUAAACCCUGCACUUACACAAUAUACCUUUUUUACACAGUCACACGCCCACAUCACACCACAUGGGCACUCAAACACAUGAUCUUAUAGUUGAAACACAAUCUGUUUAAACUGAGCCGUGGAACCAGUGCAUUUUAUGAUAUAUACUUCCACAUGUGAGGCCAACAUUUUAAAAAAAAUAAAAUCAUGGCACAAUCUAAGCCACAAUGCAAUGUACAUUAUAAUUUAUGAGUAUGUCAACAAUUUAUCACAUUUUAGUAUUUAUAACCCUUAACACGCCCUUCUCUAUUUGCAUCUUCACAUGUAAUGCAAAUUCUAAUGUGGCAAGCUUGUGGGACAUUUGAACACUAGGUAGAGAGGCUCACCAUCAAAAUGUCCAUACAAAAAUCAGGAUAGUCUACUCAUUAAGCAAUCCACACGUGGAUAUUGGAUGUAGAUCAUGAGCAAGUUUUU